GAUGAAGAACGUAGCGAAAUGCGAUACUUGGUGUGAAUUACAGAACCCGUGAACCAUCGAGUUUUUGAACGCAAGUUACGCCCGAAGCCGUUAGGCUGAGGGCACGCCUGCCUGGGUGUAACACAUCGUUGCCCCAAUGCCAAUCGCCUCACUUUGUAGGUAUUUUCUUGGGGUGAAUGUUGGCCUCCCGUGAGCUUUGUCUCACGGUUGGUUGAAGAUCGAGUGCAUGGUGUCAGGUGUACCAUGAUGGAUGGUGGUUGAGUGAUGAUGCUCGAGACCAAUCAUGGGUAACUCCACCAGAAUUGGGCUCGAUGACCCACAUGUGUCCCUUGGAUGCUCCCUAAGGAAACCUCAGGUCAAGCGGGGCUACCCGCUGAGUUUAAGCAUAUCAAUAAGCGGAGGA
rnacentral:misc_RNA from 1 species